rnacentral:lncRNA from 1 species
AAAUGUUUUCUUCCUCAGAUUUUCUUCUCAAAGCUCUAUCAGGUUAGUCUCUCUCUUUCUCUCCCUUUAUUUUUGUUUAAUUAGCUUGUUGUAGUUUCAGGAUAAUUGGGUUUUUUUAUUCAAUUUUAAACUAAUUAACCUAGUAGGGUUUGAGUGAUAAAUUGUUGUGAAUUCAAUUUUUUAUGUCACUAAAUAUAAACCUAGUAGGGUUUAUAGAUUCUGUGUUUUGAUUUCAGUAAUGCAGUAAAACUGUGUAUUUAUUUCAGUGUGUAUUAAGCAUGAACAAACUCGACUUUCAGGAAUUGUUAUGUUAAUCUUUGAAUGUUUUUUAAAAUAUUAUGGCAUUCUUAAUGUCUGAGGUCAAGUUUGACUUGCUAGUUCUGAUAACUUUUGACAGUAACUAAGAUUAUGUAUAGGUAUACCCAAUCAUAGGAUGCAUACUUUUGGUGUUUUAUGUUUACAAUCUUACUGCUGCUUAGGGAAUUGUAUGCUGGAGGGAUCAGAGUUAACUUUUCGCGUUUUGUUUCAGAUUAAUCAAGAUAGUAACAACUGAUAUGGACCAUAAUGUUCACAUAGAUCUGAAGAAUUAGCCUUCGGUUUCUCCUACAACCCAAGAAUCACAGAAAACCCAAUAGUGGAAUGGUAGGCUACGAAAAAAAUACCCUCUUUCUACAUUGUCAUGAUAAUCUAUUGUGUCUUGACAGCAUAGUUAGUUGUUUCAACUAAACACUAACUUGUUUUAAUCUGUACAGGUGCUAUCAAGAAUGCCCUCGAGAAUUGCUGAUAUCAAACUUGUAAGUCGCCACACCGAAGUUUACGAACCCUGUGAUGAUUCUUUUGCAUUAGUCGAUGCACUCCUAGCUGAUAGAAUAAACUUAUUACAACAUAAACCAACAAUAUGCAUGGAAGUAGGUUGUGGCAGUGGUUAUGUGAUUACAUCUCUAGCGAUAAUGCUUGGUCAGGAGGUUGAUGGGCUUCACUAUAUUGCUACUGAUAUAAAUCCACAUGCAGUAAGAGUUACGUGCGAAACAUUGGAGGCUCAUGGGGUCCAUGCGGAGGUGAUACGUG